rnacentral:rRNA from 1 species
GACGAACGCUGGCGGCGUGCCUAAUACAUGCAAGUAGAACGCACAGUUUAUACCGUAGCUUGCUCCACCAUAGACUGUGAGUUGCGAACGGGUGAGUAACGCGUAGGUAACCUGCCUGGUAGCGGGGGAUAACUAUUGGAAACGAUAGCUAAUACCGCAUAAUAUUAAUUAUUGCAUGAUAAUUAAUUGAAAGGUGCAAUUGCACCACUACCAGAUGGACCUGCGUUGUAUUAGCUAGUAGGUGAGGUAACGGCUCACCUAGGCGACGAUACAUAGCCGACCUGAGAGGGUGAUCGGCCACACUGGGACUGAGACACGGCCCAGCCUCCUACGGGAGGCAGCAGUAGGGAAUCUUCGGCAAUGGACGCAAGUCUGACCGAGCAACGCCGCGUGAGUGAAGAAGGUUUUCGGAUCGUAAAGCUCUGUUGUAAGAGAAGAACGGGUGUGAGAGUGGAAAGUUCACACUGUGACGGUAUCUUAACAGAAAGGGACGGCUAACUACGUG